rnacentral:rRNA from 1 species
UACGUAGGGUGCGAGCGUUAAUCGGAAUUACUGGGCGUAAAGUGUGCGCAGGCGGCCGAGCAAGUCGAGUGUGAAAGCCCCGGGCUUAACUUGGGAAUUGCGCUCGAAACUACUUGGCUGGAGUGUGGCAGAGGAAGGUGGAAUUCCAGGUGUAGCGGUGAAAUGCGCAGAUAUCGGGAGGAACACCAAGUGCGAAGGCAGCUCGCUGGGACGUCACUGACGCUGAGACGCGAAAGCGUGGGGAGCAAACAGG